rnacentral:rRNA from 1 species
GACGAACGCUGGCGGCGUGCUUAACACAUGCAAGUCGAACGAAGUGGCGAACGGGUGAGUAACGCGUAAUCACCCUGCCCUUCAGUGGGGGACGACAGUUGGAAACGACUGCUAAUACCACAUACUGAAGGAGGGGAUUGCGUCUGAUUCGCUAGUUGGAGGGGGAACGGCGCACCAAGGCGAUGAUCAGUAGCCGGGCUGAGAGGAUGAACGGGCAAAUUGGGACGGAGACACGGCCCAGACUCCUACGGGAGGGCGCAGGGGGGAAUCUUGCGCAAUGGACGAAAGUCUGAAGGAGCAACGCCGCGUGAGUGAUGACGGGUUUCGGGUUGUAAAGUUCUGUUAAUCGGGACGCGGUACCGGAAUAGAAAGCCACGGCUAACUACGUGCCAGCAGCCGCGGUAAUAC